UGGGGAAUAUUGGACAAUGGGCGAAAGCCUGAUCCAGCCAUGCCGCGUGUGUGAAGAAGGCCUUUUGGUUGUAAAGCACUUUAAGCGAGGAGGAGGCUGCUUGGAUUAAUACUCUAGGAUAGUGGACGUUACUCGCAGAAUAAGCACCGGCUAACUCUGUGCCAGCAGCCGCGGUAAUACAGAGGGUGCGAGCGUUAAUCGGAUUUACUGGGCGUAAAGCGUGCGUAGGCGGCUUCUUAAGUCGGAUGUGAAAUCCCUGAGCUUAACUUAGGAAUUGCAUUCGAUACUGGGAAGCUAGAGUAUGGGAGAGGAUGGUAGAAUUCCAGGUGUAGCGGUGAAAUGCGUAGAGAUCUGGAGGAAUACCGAUGGCGAAGGCAGCCAUCUGGCCUAAUACUGACGCUGAGGUACGAAAGCAUGGGGAGCAAACAGG
rnacentral:rRNA from 1 species